GGAUGAAGAACGCAGCGAAAUGCGAUAAGUAAUGUGAAUUGCAGAAUUCAGUGAAUCAUCGAAUCUUUGAACGCACCUUGCGCCCUUUGGCCAUUCCGAAGGGCAUGCCUGUUUGAGUAUCAUGAACACCUCAACUCUUCAUGGUUUUCCAUGAUGAGCUUGGACUUUGGGGGUCUUGCUGGCCUGUGGGUCGGCUCCUCUCAAAUGAAUCAGCUUGCCGGUUUUUGGUGGGCAUCACAGGUGUGAUAACUAUCUACGCUUGUGGUUUUCCACCAGGGUAACCUUCAGCAGUGGAGGUUCACUGGAGCUUACAAAUGUCUCUCCUCUGUGAGGACAGCCCUUUGAAUGUUUGAUCUCAAAUCAGGUAGGACUACCCGCUGAACUUAAGCAUAUCAAUAAGCGGAGGA
rnacentral:misc_RNA from 1 species